GAUCAUGGCUCAGGAUGAACGCUGGCGGCGUGCCUAAUACAUGCAAGUCGAACGAAUCUCUUUUAGAGAUGAGUGGCGAACGGGUGAGUAAUACAUAGGUAACCUGCCCCUGUGCGGGGGAUAACAGGAGGAAACUCCUGCUAAUACCGCAUAGCCAUGAGUACCGCAUGGAGCUCAUGCCAAAUAUCCUUUCGGGGAUAGCGCAGGGAUGGACCUAUGGCGCAUUAG
rnacentral:rRNA from 1 species